rnacentral:tRNA from 1 species
UGGGGUAUCGCCAAGUGGUAAGGCACCGNUUUUUGGUANCGGCAUUCCCAGGUUCGAAUCCUGGUACCCCAGCCA